rnacentral:rRNA from 1 species
CCUACGGGGGGCAGCAGUGGGGGAUAUUGCACAAUGGGGGAAACCCUGAUGCAGCGACGCCGCGUGGGCGAAGAAGUACUUCGGUAUGUAAAGCCCUAUCAGCAGGGAAGAAGAAAUGACGGUACCUGAGUAAGAAGCACCGGCUAAAUACGGGCCAGCAGCCGCGGUAAUACGUAGGGUGCAGGCGUUAUCCGGAUUUACUGGGUGUAAAGGGAGCGCAGGCGGCACGGCAAGCCUGAUGUGAAAGCCCGGGGCCCAACCGCGGGACUGCAUUGGGAACUACCGGGCUGGAGUGCCGGAGAGGUAGGCGGAAUUCCUGGUGUAGCGGUGAAAUGCGUAGAUAUGAGGAGGAACACCAGUGGCGAAGGCGGCCUACUGGACGGUGACUGACGCUGAGGCUCGAAAGCGUGGGGAGCAAACAGGAUUAGAUACCCGUGUAGUC